CAAAUCAUGCGGUAAGAGCUCAUCCUGAGGAAUGCAGAGCAGUAAGAUCUACUGAGCCCCGGUCCCUGACAGCUUGGAGCGCCAGGCAGCACUGGUCUGCCCCCGGACUUCUGUCAUGUGGGUUUCUGAAUCCAAAGGAACCACAGCCAAGGAAUUCACCCUCAUUUGGACUUGAUAGAAAUCACAGGACUCAGGCCUUGGAGCCUAAUGCUACAGGUUCAAGACCUAAUCCAGGAUCACACUUUGCAUUUGGUUAUUGUGUCUCCUUGGUUUCCUUUAAUCUGGCAUAGUUUCUCUUUGUCUUUCAUUGCCUUUCAUGAUCUUGACAUUUUUAAAGAGUGCUGGUCAAUUAUUUUAUAGAAUGGCCCUCAGUUUGGAUUCGCCUGAUGUUUGCUCAUGAUUUAAAUUCAGUUUAUAUAUUUUUGGAACAAAUAACACAGAGUGAUGCUGUAUCUAUCUGAGUGUGUUCUAACCAGAGACAUAUGAUAGUGACUUGGACCAUUACAGUAAGGAAAAUUAAAUCACUAAAUGAAGCUGGGGCUUGUCAUGUUUCUCUAUUAUAAGCUUACUAUUUUUCCCAUUGUAAUUAAUCAUAAGCUUUUGGGAAGAUACUUUGACAUUAUGUAAAUAUCCUAUUC